rnacentral:rRNA from 1 species
UGAGGAAUAUUGCGCAAUGGCCGAAAGGCUGACGCAGCGACGCCGCGUGAAGGAUGAAGUCCGUUAGGAUGUAAACUUCUUUUGCAGGGGAUGAAAAUCCGCUUUCGGGCGGAAUUGACCGUACCCUGCGAAUAAGGAUCGGCCAACUACGUGCCAGCAGCCGCGGUAAUACGUAGGAUCCGAGCGUUGUCCGGAAUUACUGGGUGUAAAGGGCGUGUAGGUGGGUCUUUAAGUCGGUGGUGAAAUCCUGCAGCUUAACUGCAGAACUGCUUCCGAUACUGAAGAUCUUGAGUACGGCAGAGGGAGAUGGAAUUCAUGGUGUAGCGGUGAAAUGUGUAGAUAUCAUGAAGAACACCGGUAGCGAAGGCGGUCUCCUGGUCCGUAACUGACACUGAGGCGCGAAAGCGUGGGGAGCAAACAGG